AUCGAACGCUGGCGGCAGGCCUAAUACAUGCAAGUCGAACGAGUGGCGGACGGGUGAGUAAUGUCUGGGCAACUGCCCGAUGGAGGGGGCUAACUACUGGAAACGGUAGCUAAUACUGCUUACCAUCGGAUGUGCCCAGAUGGGAUUAGCUAGUAGGUGGGGUAAUGGCGCACCUAGGCGACGAUCCCUAGCCGGUCUGAGAGGAUGACCGGCCACACUGGAACUGAGACACGGUCCAGACUCCUACGGGAGGCAGCAGUAGGGAAUAUUGCGCAAUGGGCGAAAGCCUGAUGCAGCAAUGCCGCGUGUAGGAAGAAGGCCUUCGGGUUGUAAAGUACUUUCAGCGAGGAGGCGUUACUCACAGAAGAAGCACCGGCUAACUCCGUGCCAGCAGCCGCGGUAAUUC
rnacentral:rRNA from 1 species